UGAAUUUGCGAUGAGGAUUUUAAGCUCCCUCUUUGAGUAAUAUUGAGGACACUUGCUGGCAGAAUCGUACAAAUAAAAACUAGCCACCAUGAGCA
rfam:Capsicum annuum cultivar Zunla-1 chromosome 2, whole genome shotgun sequence